GGGAAUGUGGCUUAGUGGUAGAGUGCUUGCCUAUCAUGCAUGAAGCCUUGGGUUCAAUCCCUUAGUACCA
rnacentral:tRNA from 1 species